UUUUCUUUGGGUUGGUAUCUACUUUUUCUCUCUCUUAGUUUUUGUCUUUUGACUCAGUCUCUCUCUUCACUGCUGUACAUUUCUCUCUCAAGUUUUUGCACCUCCGUGUCCUGAUUUUUGUUCCUCUCAGCUUUUGUUGUUGAGGAUGUGAAUAUAUGUUUCUUCUCGCUUUUGAGUACUCCCCCUCUCUCUCUCUCUCUCUCUUCUCUUUCUCUCUCUCUCUCUCUCUCUCUCUCUCUUCGUCUCGUUCUCGUUCGUUCGUUCGUUACGUUACGUUACGUUACGUUACGUUNNNNNNNNNNNNNNNNNNNNACGUACUUUACUUCUUCUUCUACGUUUUAGUUCGUACCUACCGUCGUCCGUCGUAGUUUUGUUUUCGUUCCUUCUACGUCGUUUGUUUGUUGUAGGAGGUGUAUAUAUGUUCUUCUCGUCUUGUGUACUCCCUCCUCUCUCUCUCUCUCUCUCUCUCUCUCUCUCUCUUGGUCAUUGGUUAUUCUUCCUCUCUUGGUGGUAUUUUUCUC
rnacentral:lncRNA from 1 species